GACGAACGCUGGCGGCGUGCCUAAUACAUGCAAGUCGUGCGGACUUAUCUUCGGAUAAGUUAGCGGCGGACGGGUGAGUAACACGUGGGCAACCUGCCCGUAAGACUGGGAUAACUCCGGGAAACCGGUGCUAAUACCAGAUACAAUCAAAGACCGCCUGGUCUUUGAUGGAAAGGUCUUGUACCGCUUACAGAUGGGCCCGCGGCGCAUUAGCUAGUUGGUGGGGUAAUGGCCUACCAAGGCGACGAUGCGUAGCCGACCUGAGAGGGUGAUCGGCCACACUGGGACUGAGACACGGCCCAGACUCCUACGGGAGGCAGCAGUAGGGAAUCUUCCGCAAUGGACGAAAGUCUGACGGAGCAACGCCGCGUGAGUGAUGAAGGCUUUCGGGUCGUAAAACUCUGUUGUCAGGGAAGAACAUCCGGGAUAACCUCCCGGUCUGACGGUACCUGAUCAGAAAGCCCCGGCUAACUACGUGCCAGCAGCCGCGGUAAUACGUAGGGGGCAAGCGUUGUCCGGAAUUAUUGGGCGUAAAGCGCGCGCAGGCGGUUUCUUAAGUCUGGUGUGAAAGCCCGCAGCUCAACUGCGGAGGGCCACUGGAAACUGGGAAGCUUGAGUGUAGGAGAGGAGAGCGGAAUUCCACGUGUAGCGGUGAAAUGCGUAGAUAUGUGGAGGAACACCCGUGGCGAAAGCGGCUCUCUGGCCUAUAACUGACGCUGAGGCGCGAAAGCGUGGGGAGCGAACAGGAUUAGAUACCCUGGUAGUCCACGCCGUAAACGAUGAGUGCUAGGUGUUGGGGACUCCAAUCCUCAGUGCCGCAGCUAACGCAAUAAGCACUCCGCCUGGGGAGUACGGCCGCAAGGCUG
rnacentral:rRNA from 1 species